rnacentral:rRNA from 1 species
UACGGGGGGGGCAAGCGUUGUUCGGAAUUACUGGGCGUAAAGGGCUCGUAGGUGGCCAACUAAGUCAGACGUGAAAUCCCUCGGCUUAACCGGGGAACUGCGUCUGAUACUGGAUGGCUUGAGUUUGGGAGAGGGACGCGGAAUUCCAGGUGUAGCGGUGAAAUGCGUAGAUAUCUGGAGGAACACCGGUGGCGAAGGCGGCGUCCUGGACCAACACUGACACUGAUGAGCGAAAGUCAGGGGAGCAAACGGG